AUUCAACGAGGAGGAGCAAGGGGCAACAUCUUGUCCUAACAAAUGGUCGGUGCUAAGGAAAUCGUCAUAAAUUUGGAAAGCUAUAUUGCAUUUUUUAAAGAAAAACUCGACAUAUUGCGAGCAGGUUGAUUAAGUACAAUAAUUGUAAUCAAAAACUUUAAGCGGGUGUUGACCUUUCACCCACAUUUUCUGGUAGUACUGUUGCGUGUUUGUUAGCUAGGCUAACUAAGGCCCUAUCUGCAACAUGAGCUAUGGUAGGCCCCCGCCCGAUGUUGAGGGCAUGACUUCUCUUAAAGUGGAUAAUCUGACGUACCGAACCUCACCUGAGACCCUUCGCCGUGUCUUUGAAAAGUAUGGUAGGGUAGGAGAUGUUUACAUCCCCCGAGAUCGUUAUACGAAAGAGAGCAGAGGGUUCUCCUUUGUGCGAUUCCAUGACAAGCGGGACGCAGAGGAUGCGAUGGACGCAAUGGAUGGUGCCGUGCUGGACGGACGCGAGUUAAGAGUCCAGAUGGCCCGUUACGGACGUCCCCCAGAUUCGCAUCAUGGAGGCGGUGGUGACCGUGGUGAUCGUGGUGACCGUCGGCGUGGAGGUGCACCCCGGAGUCCAAGGCGUCGGAGACGCAGCAGAUCCCGGAGCAGAAGCCGAUCUCGUUCCCGCAGCCGCUCCCGCAACAGCCGAUCAAGGUCUCGUUCCUACUCUCGCUCCAAGUCUCGCUCCCCUAAGAGAGACAAGGCCAAGUCCCCGUCCAGGUCCCGCUCCAGAUCCAAGUCUCCUAAGUCAAAGUCCCGUUCCAGGAGCCACACGCCUGCAGAAAGAGCCUCAAGAUCAAGAUCCAAGAGUCAGCCCAAGUCACCUGGAGAGAAUGGAGCUGAAACCCCAUAGAUGACUGACAAACUGGUAAGUGUUGUAAAUUGUUUGAGGUGAAGGCUAGCAUUACACUAGAUUGUAUGACUAGCAUGGGGAGGAUGUGAUGCGGGGAUAUUAUGUGUGGGAUGGAUUUGCACUACGUCUCCCUUUUCCAUGGUUAUCUGUGGUUAAAUAGAAUGGGGUUGGUUGUGGGAUGUCUUGACAAUGUGAACUACUUUAAGUCUUUCCACCUCAAAGUGGUUAUGCAUAUUACUGUAACACUGGGCAUGGCAAAGAGGAAUGAAAAACUGUCCCGUAUGGUGGUUGCCUGAAACCCACAUUUGAUGGAUUUUGGGGACUAUUCCUUUGUCACAAUUUUGUUCUGUCCUGCCCAAUGUUCCAGUUCAUUAUCAGUGUAGAGGAAAUUUAGGUCCAUUCUUGCAUUGUACAUAUGUGGCAUUUGAGAAUACAUUUUUUACAAAAAAUAAAAUGUUCAUAAAACAAAUCUGGAAUUCUCUCCUCCAAGCUGCGGAAUCCUGUUUGCAAAAGAGGAGUUUGAGGCAGUAUGAGCAGUUAGUGAGCUGGGUGUGUGAGCUGUCCGGGCACCUGCUGCUGUGGGGGUUGCUAUGGAGCAGGCCGGUUGCAGGUUGCAGUCAGUGUUGGGGUGGUGUUGAGGUACGUCUGCAGGACAAUGGACAGAAGCCUUGCAUUGUCCUCCAGGUCAUGCUCUCUGCUUUUUGGGGGCAAAGACUUGUGCUCAGGAGGGAACCAAGGUUUGUCUAACUGGUUUCUCAUGACAAGAUUUCUCAUUUUUGUGAAGCCCGGGCGUCUCUUGACGUUUGGUUCCUUCCUUGAACCAAAUAAUUUCAACCAUCAGAAACGGGUUUGCAUAGCUUUUGAUUUGGCUCUUUCUUUCAAAUGUAGACUAGUUUCCUACUAAUAUGGGAGAAAUGUGCUAUGCACAUGAAGUUGGCAUUACAUUGCCAGCUGAUUACACCAUACAUAUGGCCUGGAGGUGUCUCCAUGUCUAUCUGAAGGGAGGGGUGUGGUAAAGUUAACAAGUCAUCGCCACUUCAUUACUAGAGGUUGAAAAUAACUCAAUUUUGUUUGUUUUCCAACACCAGUUUCUUACAUCCUUGUCUUUCAAACAUUUUUCAGAUGAGAUGCCAAUGAGGACGUCACACUUCAGACUGAGGACCCUGUCAUACAAUGAUUUCUGUGUAAAAGGCGCAGUUGUGUAGCAGUUGAGUAUUGCUGGUUAGCUGUUAAGGUGGCGUGUUGCAGUGCUUGGCUGUUUCCAGUGUUCUCCGGAAUGCCCCUGUGGCUACAAUGCUGUGAUGGUGGCCAACUUAAAUGGCUGCUACAAAUUCACCAUCGGUAGAAUGCCUGUCUUUCAACAAGUUAAAAAUUCUCUAAUUCAGAGCACUAAGUAUGUUGUGCUAAUUAUGUUUAAUGCAUUCUGUCUUGCCCUUUGUGCAUUCCUUUUCCCCCUUGCAAGAGUCUGUAUAGGUGUCCAAUGUGAAAGCUAAUAAAAAUUGUCUUC